rnacentral:tRNA from 1 species
AUGUGGCUCAGUGGUAGAGCGCAUGCUUAGCAUGUAUGAGGUCCUGGGUUCAAUUCC